GGAUAAAGGAUUUAAGAUAACAAAGAACAGUGAAUGGAGAUGAUGCCACUUAGGAUUGAGGAUGAAUGUGGUGUCUUCAAUAUGUAACCUAUUAUAUAAUAGAUAGAUAUCUACAACACAACAACAACAACAAAAUAUGACGGUUUAUUAAUAAUACUUGAAUUUUUGUUUUUUCUUCAAAUUUUUGUUUUUUUUAAAUAUAUGACAUUUUUUUUUUGCAAAUUCUUAACGUUUUAAAACUUGGUAAAAAUAAUAUAACUAAUGACGAUUUUUUUAGUAACACUAGCAGAAAAAACGUACGUUGUACGUGUAAUUAAUGUUAUUUUAAUUGGUAAUCUAUUAUUUAAAAAAAAUCUAUUAAUUCAUUACUUUUAUUGGAUAAUUUAUUGGAUGGAUAUAUUUAUUUAUAAGCCUUAC
rnacentral:lncRNA from 1 species